CGACAUUCAAUACAAACUCUUCAGCCAUCCACAACUUCAGCAGAUCGACCACUGGGAUCUUAUGGUCUUCUGGAAACAAUGCCAUGUAAAGAAGGCAAGGCUUUAAGUGGUCUUCUAAAUGGUCAUAACUUGACUGUAUCACCUUCAAGCUCUGCUCUCCUAAAACAUAAGAACUUAAGUCAUUUGCAACCUCUAGCCACAGGCUGGACGACUCCCAUUCCUUUUCCCCAAUAAUUCGGCCAGCAACUAGGACAAUGACAAGAGGCAAUCCCUUACAAUGUUGGGCAACUUGUAGCGCUGCUGGCAGCAGACUCGGUGGACAACUCUCUCCUCGAAAUACCUUUUUCUGCAAUAAUUCCCAACUCUCGGCCCGUGUUAGAAAUCUAAGAGGAUAAGGAUCACUGUGGUGCUGAAGAUGCUUAGCCACUUGUUCAAUUCGAGUUGUUACAAUUACCCUACUUCCAUUUUCACCCAUAGGGAAACAUAAACCCAAAUCUUCCCAUGCCUUGACAUCCCAUAUAUCAUCUAAUACAAUGAGGUAUCUCCUGCCUAUUAAACUCUUGCGCAACUUGUCAGCUAUGUCAUUG